GAUGAACGCUGGCGGCGUGCUUAACACAUGCAAGUCGAACGGAAAGGCCCAAGCUUGCUUGGGUGCUCGAGUGGCGAACGGGUGAGUAACACGUGGGUGAUCUGCCCUGCACUUCGGGAUAAGCCUGGGAAACUGGGUCUAAUACCGGAUAGGACCACAUUUUGGAUGGUGUGGUGGAAAGUUUUUCGGUGUGGGAUGAGCUCGCGGCCUAUCAGCUUGUUGGUGGGGUAAUGGCCUACCAAGGCGUCGACGGGUAGCCGGCCUGAGAGGGUGUACGGCCACAUUGGGACUGAGAUACGGCCCAGACUCCUACGGGAGGCAGCAGUGGGGAAUAUUGCACAAUGGGCGCCAGCCUGAUGCAGCGACGCCGCGUGGGGGAUGACGGCCUUCGGGUUGUAAACUCCUUUCGCUAGGGACGAAGCGUUAUGUGACGGUACCUGGAGAAGAAGCACCGGCUAACUACGUG
rnacentral:rRNA from 1 species